rnacentral:rRNA from 1 species
CGGCAGGCCUAACACAUGCAAGUCGAGCGGUAGAGAGAGGCUUGCUUCUCUUGAGAGCGGCGGACGGGUGAGUAAAGCCUAGGAAUCUGCCUGAUAGUGGGGGAUAACGUUCGGAAACGAACGCUAAUACCGCAUACGUCCUACGGGAGAAAGCAGGGGACCUUCGGGCCUUGCGCUAUCAGAUGAGCCUAGGUCGGAUUAGCUAGUUGGUGAGGUAAUGGCUCACCAAGGCGACGAUCCGUAACUGGUCUGAGAGGAUGAUCAGUCACACUGGAACUGAGACACGGUCCAGACUCCUACGGGAGGCAGCAGUGGGGAAUAUUGGACAAUGGGCGAAAGCCUGAUCCAGCCAUGCCGCGUGUGUGAAGAAGGUCUUCGGAUUGUAAAGCACUUUAAGUUGGGAGGAAGGGCAUUAACCUAAUACGUUAGUGUUUUGACGUUACCGACAGAAUAAGCACCGGCUAACUCUGUGCCAGCAGCCGCGGUAAUACAGAGGGUGCAAGCGUUAAUCGGAAUU